rnacentral:rRNA from 1 species
ACGAACGCUGGCGGCAGGCUUAAUACAUGCAAGUCGAACGGGCCCUUCGGGGUCAGUGGCGCACGGGUGCGUAACGCGUGGGAACAUGCCCUUAGGUACGGAACAACACAGGGAAACUUGUGCUAAUACCGUAUAAUAUCUCUGGAUCAAAGAUUUAUCGCCUAAGGAUUGGCCCGCGUUAGAUUAGGUAGUUGGUGGGGUAAUGGCCUACCAAGCCGACGAUCUAUAGCUGGUCUGAGAGGAUGAUCAGCCACACUGGAACUGAGACACGGUCCAGACUCCUACGGGAGGCAGCAGUAAGGAAUAUUGGACAAUGGGCGAAAGCCUGAUCCAGCCAUGCCGCGUGAGUGAUGAAGGCCUUAGGGUUGUAAAGCUCUUUUAGAUGGGAAGAUAAUGACUGUACCAUCAGAAUAAGCCCCGGCUAAAUUCGU